UGCUUUAAUGUGUUCAGCUCCCAGCACUCCCUGUUCAGAAGCAAACACCUGCAGCCAGAUGACAGAAAUGUUAUGAGGGAGCAGAAGCAGGGGGAGGGCAUGUAAUGAUACCGAUGACAUGCCCUGUUCAACAUUUCAAGAAUUAAUUUACAGGGAAAACGAAUCUUCACCCAGAGAGAGUAGAUCAUCACAGUGGAUAAUUGACUUGUAGCUUACCAGCCAUAAACUAUGCUGCACAGCUUAAAUCCGUGCGGAGGGUCAUUCUAACUGGAGAACUUGGGGUAGUGGAGAGAAGAACAAUGUAAACUGUUAGAAGAGAGACUAUACAACAACUUGAACACAGUAUUGUUCAAAAUUCCUGAGAUACUGUGGGAAAAGUGAAGGAGGAGAAGGAGGAAAAAGAGAAGGAGCAGGAGGAGGAAGAAGAGGAAGAUGAUGAAGAAUAAGAAAAAGAAGAAGAGGAAUGAUGAUAUAGCAAUUUAAAGUCUUCUACACAUUAUCUCAUUUGAUAAGAAAACAUAGUCUGUUUAAAAUUUGUAGGGUAACUGAAAUUUUUUUUGGUUCAGGCAUUUCAGGUAUGUCUGAUUCCUUGUGACCCUAUUUGAGAUUUUCUUGCCAAGGAUACCAUAGUAGAUUGUCAUUUCGCUCUUCAGCUUAUUGAACUGAUAAGGAAGCUGAGACAUACACAGUGAUUUGCCCAGGGAUGCACAGAUACAAAGUGUUUAAGACUGUAUUUGAACUUACAAAGAUUCUUCCUGACUCUAAGCUCAGAGCUCAAGUCACUGCACCAGUUAGGUUCCCUAUUUAAAAGAAAUCACUUAAGUGAUUAUAAAUAUUCUCUCUAGAAUGUUUCAUAAAAUUUCUAUCAAGUUUCCAUCAGUACUUCUUAAAACUGAUUUUGUCUGACCAUAGUGAUAUACUUUGUACCCAGCUGCUAGGGAGGCUGAGGCUAGUGGAUUUCUUAAGCUCUAAAAUGCUGAUCUAUAGUGGGUUGAUCCCAGAGGUGUGCAAGAGCCAGGAAAUCCAAUUGUUAAAAUUUAAGAAUGAGCAUUUACAUCUUGGAAAUCAAUGAAUGCUCCUAAUUAGGGUUCCAUUUAUUGUUCUGUUGAUUGUCUACUCUUAAGAAAGUGAUGGAGAAUGCAAAUAUGUUGUAAUUUUUUGGAGAAUCAGAGGUUCUAUGAAGGUUAUUGACUAUCUUUGGUCAAUAAUAAAUAAUGUAAAUGUAAAAUGCUUCACAACUCUUAAGGCUUCUCUUGUAAGAGGCUUUCCCAGUCUCUUUCCAGAACCUUUCCUUUGAGAGUACCUUUCAUCUAUUCUGUAUGUAGCUUGACUUAUAUGCUUGUGUCCCCUAUUAGAAUCUACAUUCCUGGAGUUCAGGGACUAUAUCUUGCUUGGUUUCCAGUCUUCUGGCACAGUUCUGGCAAGGACUUAACAAAUGCUUGUUUACUGAAUUUAAGUGCUAACUAUUAUUACUUUUAAAAAGAAAACUUUCUUACCCAUCUAGGCUUUUUUUUUUCACUCUAAGGGCUUAGACAGAAAUCUAUUUUGGGCAAAUUCUCUCUGCCAUCCUAUUUUCAAUGGGCUGGAUCAUUUUCUUUGCAUCCUGUUUGAAACUCUUGUGUGUUGGUGUUGCUAGGCUGACCCAAACAGCUGUCACAUUCCAGGCCAGAGGUGGGUGAAGUUAUUCCUGUGGAUGGAGCUUUCUGAAGACACUUUGAGAUUCUUUGGUUUGGCAAUGUAUCAGUGUCAGAAACUAUUGUGCUUUGAAUAUUCAAACCUGCCAUAGCAUUCAUGUGUUGCUGUAAAAAGACUUCUCUCUGUUGUUCAGAUUUUGAAUAUACAUCUUGCUCUAUAUCCCUCCUGAAUUUUAUGGCAAAGCCUGAAAUUACUUAUAGACAAUUUAUGGAAAAAUCCUCGUUUUUUCUUGCUGAAUUUGGUACAGACAUAUGAAGAGGUUUUCACAUCUAACUAACUAGCAAAUCCAGCGUCUGAAUUGGUUCUAGACUGGCAGAAUCCAGGAAUAUUGGGAGUGAAACAAAUUACCCGCAGAAGAUAAUUUUGAAACUCUCCAGAAAAGGUCUGCUUCAAUCGGGCAUGGAGGGAAGUGGACCAAACACAAGCAGGCCAAGCACAGAUGCUAGGGAGUGCAGGCAGCAUAGACCCGGGGCAGUGGAAGUUCCACACAGAAGAGUAUCUACAGGGUAGAAUCUACAGCAGAGUUGGCUUCUUUGCCCUGGUUGCAAGCCAGUAGAUCGAUCAGCAGUGAAGUCAUACAGCAUCCAACACAAACACAAAAGAUAAAUGAUGAAUGCUGAAACUUCAGAAUCUCAUGAGAUCUGGCCACAUCCACCCAGCACCAGAAGUCAGUAAACACUAACUCAGUGCAGUCAGCACUGACCUAGCACAACCACUGCUGCUUGUAGAAGAAGCUUGGACAACGUCCCUUGCCCUAAAAACAGUUCUCAACUUCUUUCUUUAAAAAUGAAUAAAAAAGCAAAAAGAACUCUAAUCAUAGAUAGUUUUUUGUGAUGAAAGAGAAGAAUAGAUUUCAAAACCUGAGAAGACUAAAAGCAGAUUGUCCCCAGAUAAAGGUCCCCAAAAUGAUAUAAAUCAGUCCCUAUCACACAAGACUCUCCUAGAAGAAAUUAUAAAAGAUCUUAAAAUAGAGCUUGAAGAAAAAUGAGAAAAGGAAAUGAAAACUCUGCAAGAGGGUUAGAAAAAGGAAACAUAAAAUAGAUUUAGUGAAACAGAAAAAGCAUAUAACUCAUUAAAAGAUAGAUUUGACAAAAUGGAAAAAGAAAACAACUCCCAGAAAAACAGAAUUUGUGAAGCAGAAAAAGAAAACAACUCCUUAAAAAACAGAAUUUAUGAAAUGGAAAAAUAACCCAUAGAAAAAAGCAACUCAUUUAAAAAUUCAGUUGGGCAAAUACAAAAAGAAGUGAAAAAAGUAAAUAAAGAAAACAAUUCACUAAAAAUCAGAGCUGAACAAAUGGAAAUAAAUGACUCAACGAAAUAACAAGAAUCAGUCAAGCAAAACAAAAAAAAAAAUAAAAAAGAAAAAAAUUUAAAAUCCUUAAUUGGGAAAAUAACUGACUGGAAAAUAGAUCUAAAGAGACAAUCUAAGAAUUCUUGGACUCCCUGAAAACCAUAAUGAAAAAAAAAGAGUCUAGACACUAUUUUUCAGGAAAUCAUCAAAGACAACUGCCCACAUAUCAUAGAAUCAGAAGGUAAAAUAACUAUUGAAAGAAUUCAUUGAAUACCUCCUGAGACACCAAAAUGAAAACUCCAAGGAAUAUCAUGGCUAAAAUUUCAGAACUAUUAUGCCAAAAAAAAAAUAUUGCAAGCAAGCAGAAAGAAACAAUUCAAAUAUAGAAAAGGCACAAGGAUUUUCCAGGACCUAAUAGCUUCCACUUUAAAGAAUGGAAGGGCCUGGAAUUUGAUAUUCCAAAAGGCAAAGGAACUUGGAAUGCAGUGAAGAAAAAAUUACCCCUCUAAACUUGAGCAUUUUCUUUCACGGAAAAAAAUGGAUAUUCAAUGAAACAGGUGAAUUACAUUUAUUUCUGAUGAAAACACCAGAGCUAAACAAAAAAAUUGACCUCCAAAUUUAGAACUCAAGAGAAGCAUAAAAAGGUAAAAAGAAAAGAACUCUUGAGAACUGUAUUUGUGUAUAUUCUGUUGAGUGCAUGCAUGAUUUGAUUUUACUGUUAUAAUUUUAAAAAGAAACUAGAGGUGGAAAAGGGAUUGUAUCAGAAAAAGGGGGAAAUGGAGGUAAAAUGAGGCAAAUAACAUCUCAGGAAGAGGCAAAGAAAAUCUACUAUAAUUGGGGUAAAGAAAGAAGAAGGAUGAACAUUAUGUGAAUCUUACUUUCAUCAGAUUUGACUCCAAGAGAAAAUAUUAGACAUAUUUGGUUUUACCAAGAAACUUCUCUCACCUUAUAGAAACGGGGAAGGGGAAAGGGGAAAUAGAAGGCUAGGCUAAAUAGAAGCGAAAACACAAAGAGUAUAAAAAAGGGGGAAGGACUCUAAAGGGGGAGGACUGCUUGAAGCAAGUAGUGCUCAUAAGUAAAAUACUGGGAAGGAGGGAGAGGGGAAAAGGAAAGAGAAAAAUGUAAUUUGGGUUUAAUAAGAUGGCAGGAAAUACAGAAUUAGUUUUAACCAUAAAUGUGAAUGGGGUGAACUCUCCCAUAAAGUGUAAGCAGAUAGCAGAUUGGAUUAAAAGCCAGAAUUCUACAAGAUGUUGUUUACAAGAAACACAUUUAAAGCAGAGCAAUACAUACAGAGUUAAAGUAAAAGGCUGAAACAGAAUCUAUUAUGCUUCAGAUGAAGUAAAAAAAAGCAGGAAUAGCCAUCCUGAUCUAAUUAAAAGAGGUAAGAAAGGAAACUAUAUCUUGCUAAAGGGUAUCAUAGUUCAUAAAACAAUAUCAAUACCAAACAUAUAUGCACUAAGUGGUAUAGCAUCUAAAUUCCUAAAGGAGAAAUUAAAAGAGCUGCAAGAAGAAAUAAACAGCAAAACUAUAAUAGUGGGACAUCUCAACCUUGGUCUCUCAGAAAUUAAAGAGGUAAAUAGAAUACUAGAAAAGUUAGGUAUGAUAGAUCUUUGGAGAAAAUUGAAUGGAGACAGAAAGGAGUACACUUUCUUCUCAGCAGUUCAUGGAACCUAUAUAAAAAUUGACCAUAUAUUAAGACAUAAAGAAAGAAAGAAAGAAUGCAGAAAGGUAGAAAUAGUAAAUGCAAUUUUUUCAGAUCAUGAUGCAAUAAAAAUUACAUUCAAUUAAAGGCCAGGGUAAAAUAGACCAAAAAGUAAUUGGAAACUAAAUAAUCACAUCCUAAAGAAUGAAUGGGUGAAACAGCAAAUCAUAGAGAUAAUCAAUAAUUUAAUCCAAGAGGAUGACAAUAAUGAGACAACAUACCAAAUUUGUGGGAUGCAGCCAAAGCAGUAAUAAGGGAAAUUUUCUAUCUCUAGAUGCUUACUUGCAUAAAAUAGAAAAAGAGAAGAUCAAUGAAUUGAGUUUGCAACUAAAAAAGCUAGAAAAAGAACAAAAUGAAAAUCGCCAAUCAAAUAUCAAACUUGAAAUUCUAAAAACAAAAGGAGAGAUUUAUAAAAUUGAAAGUAAAAAAAAAAACUAUUGAGUUAAUAAACAAAACUAAGAGUUGGCUUUAUGAAAAACCGAUAAAAUAAAUAAACAUUUAGUUAAUUUGGUUAGAAAAAGGAAAAAGGAAAAUCAAAUUAUUAGUUUCAAAAAUGAAAAGGGAGAACUUUCCACUAAUGAAGAGGAAAUUAGAGCAAUAAUUAGGAGUUAUUUUGCCCAAAUUUAUGCCAAUAAACUGGGCAACCUAAGUGAAAUGAAGGAAUAUUACAAAAUUAUAGAUUGCCCAAAAUCCCCAAGACCAGAUGGAUUUACAUGUGAAUUUUACCAAACAUUUAAAGAACAAUUAACUUCAAUAGUAUAUAAACUAUUUGGAAAAAUAGGGAAUGAAGGACUUCUAUCAAAUUCCUUUUAUGACACAGACAUGGUACUGAUACCUAAACAAAGUAGGACAAAAACAGAGAAAGAAAAUUAUAGACAAAUCUCUCUACUGAAUAUUGAUGCAAAAAUCUUAAAUAAAAUAUUAGUGAAGAGAUUACAGAAAAUCAUCCCCAGGAUAAUACACCAUGACAAAGUAGGGUUUAUACCAGGAAUGCAGGGCUGGUUCAAUAUUAGGAAAACUAUUAGCAUAAUUGAUUUUCAUCAAUAAGCAAAUCAACAAAAACCAUAUGAUUAUCUCAAUAGAUGCAGAAAAAUCAUUUGAAAAAAUCAAACAUCCAUUCCUAUUAAAAACACUAGAAAAUAUAGGAAAAAAUGGACUUUUCCUUAAAAUGGUCAGUAGCAUCUAUUUAAAACCAUCAGCAAGCAUCAUAUGUAAUGGGGAUAAACUGGAACCAUUCCCAAUAAGAUCAGGGGUGAAACAAGAUUGCCCACUAUUAUCAUUACUAUUCAGUGUUGUAUUAGAAAUGCUAGCUUUGGCAAUAAGAGAAGAAAAAGAGAUUAAAGGAAUUAGAAUAGGUAAUGAGGAAACCAAAUUAUCACUCUUUGCAGAUGAUAUGAUAGUAUACUUAGAGAACCCUAAGGAAUCAAGUAAAAACUAUUAAAAAUAAUCCACAACUUUAGCAAAGUUGCAGGAUACAAUAUAAAUCCACAUAAAUCAUCAGCAUUUUUAUACAUCACAAAGUCCAACAGCAAGAAAUACAAUGAGAAAUUCUAUUUAAAAAAAAAAAACUUUCGAUAGUAUAAAAUAUUUGGGAAUCUAUCUUCCAUGGGAAAGUCAGUAACUAUAUGAGCAAAACUACAAAACACUCUCUACACACAUAAAGUCAGAUCAAAACAAUUGGAAAAAUAUCAAGAGCUUUUGGAUAGGUCAAGUAAAUAUAAUAAUAUACCUAAACUAAACUUAGUGCUAUACCAAUCAGACUCCUAAGAAACUAUUUUACUGACCUAGAAAAAUAACAACAAAAUUCAUCUGGAAGAACAAAAAGAUCAAGAAUUUCAAGGGAAUUAAUGAAAAAAAAUCAAAUGAAGAUGACCAACUAUACCAGAUCUAAAACUAUAUUAUACAACAGCGGUUCUCAAAACAUUUGGUACUAGCUAAGAAAUAGAGUAGUUGAUUAGUGGAAUAGGUUAGGUUCACAAAACAAAAUAGUCAGUGACUAUAGCAAUCUAGUGUUUGGCAAACCCAAAGACCCCAGCUUUGGGGAUAAGAAUUCACUAUUUGACAAAAAGUUCUGGGAAAAUUGGAAAUUAGUAUGGCAGAAAUGAGGCAUUAAUCCACACCUAACACCAUAUACCAAGAUAAGAUUGAAAUGGAUUCAUGAUCUAGACAUAAAGAAUGAUAUUAUAAACAAAUUUUAAAAAAUAGGAUAAUUUACCUCUCAGAUCUGUGGAGGAAGAAGGAAUUUGUGAUCAAAGAAUUAGAGAUCAUUAUUGAUCACAAAAUAGAUAAUUUUGAUAAUAUUAAGUUACAAGAUUUUUGUAUAAACAAAAUUAAUGCAGACAACAUUAGAAGGGAACUAACAAAUUGGGAAAACAUUUUUACAUUCAAAGGUUCUGAUAAAGGCCUCAUUUCUAAAAUAUAUAGAGAAUGGACUCAGAUUUAUAAGAAUUCAAGCCAUUCCUCAGUUGGUAAAUAGUUAAAGGAUAUGAACAGAUAAUUUUCAGAUGAAGAAAUUGAAACUAUUUGUAGUCAUAUGAAAAGGUGCUCCAAAUCACUAUUGAUCAGAAAAAUGCAGAUUAAGAUAACUUUGAGAUGUUACUACACACCUCUCAGAUUGGCUAAGAUAACUUUGAGAUGUUACUACACACCUCUCAGAUUGGCUAAGAUAAUGACUAAUGUUGGAGAGGAUGUGGGAAAACUGGAACACUGAUACAUUGUUGGUAAAACUGUGAACAGAUCCAACCAUUUUGGAGAACAAUUUAGAACUAUGCUCAAAAAGUUAUCAAACUGUGCAUACCCUUUAACCUAGCAGUGUUUCUAUUGGACUUAUAACUGAAAGAGAUCUUGAAGGAGGGAAAGAGACCUAUAUGUGCAAAAAUGUUUGUGACAGCCUUUUUUGUAGUGGCAAGAAACUGGAAACUGAAUGGAUGUCCAUCAAUUGGAGUAUGGCUGAAUAAAUUAUAAUAUAUGAUUAUUAUGGAAUAUUAUUGUUGUGUAAGGAAUGACCAGCAUUUUGAUUUCAGAUAGGCCUGAAGAGAUCUACAUAAACUGAUGCUAAGUGAAAUGAGCUGAACCAGAAGAUUAUUAUACAGGGCAACAAGACUAAAUGAUGAUCAAUUCUGAUGGAUGUGGCUCUCUUCAACAAUGAGAUGAUUCAAAUCAAUUCCAAUUGUUCAGUAAUAAAGAGCCAUCUACACCGAGAGAGAAGACUAUGGGAACUGAGUGUAGAUCACAACAUAACAUUCUUACUCUUUAUGUUGUUGUUUGCUUGCAUUUUGUUUUCUUUCUCAGUUUUUUUUUCCUUCUUUAUCCAAUUUUUUUUUGUGUGUGCAGCAAGAUAACUGCUGCACAAGAUAACAUCAUAAACAUGUACACAUAUAUUAUUUAACAUAUAUUUUAACAUACUUAACAUGUAUCGAACUUACUGCCAUCUAGGGAAAGGGGUGAGGGAAAAGAAGUGAUAAUUUGAAACAGAAGGUUUUGCAAAGGUCAAUGUUGAAAAAAAUUACUCAUGGAUAUAUUUUGUAAAUAAAAAGCUUUAAUAAAAUAAAAAA